rnacentral:rRNA from 1 species
UAGGGAAUCUUCCACAAUGGACGAAAGCCUGAUGGAGCAACACCGCGUGAGUGAAGAAGGGUUUCGGCUCGUAAAGCUCUGUUGUUAAAGAAGAACACGUAUGAGAGUAACUGUUCAUACGUUGACGGUAUUUAACCAGAAAGUCACGGCUAACUACGUGCCAG